rnacentral:rRNA from 1 species
UACAGAGGGUGCAAGCGUUGUUCGGAAUCACUGGGCGUAAAGGGCGCGUAGGCGGUCUGCUAAGCGUGUGGUGAAAGCUCGGGGCUCAACCCCGAGUCUGCCAUGCGAACUGGUGGACUUGAGCACUGUAGAGGCAGGUGGAAUUCCGGGUGUAGCGGUGGAAUGCGUAGAGAUCCGGAAGAACACCAGUGGCGAAGGCGGCCUGCUGGGCAGUUGCUGACGCUGAGGCGCGACAGCGUGGGGAGCAAACAGG